rnacentral:tRNA from 1 species
GGAAGGUUGUCCGAGCUGGCCGAAGGACCACGCCUGGAAAGUGUGUAGGCGUCACAAGCGUCUCAAGGGUUCGAAUCCCUUACCUUCCG